UACGUAGGGACCAAGCGUUGUUCGGAUUUACUGGGCGUAAAGGGCGCGUAGGCGGCGCGGUAAGUCACUUGUGAAAUCUCUGAGCUUAACUCAGAACGGCCAAGUGAUACUGCAGUGCUAGAGUGUGGAAGGGGCAAUCGGAAUUCUUGGUGUAGCGGUGAAAUUCGUAGAUAUCGGGAGGAACACCAGUGGCGAAGGCGGAGACCUGGGCCAAUACUGACGCUGAGGUGCGAAAGCGUGGGGAGCAAACAGG
rnacentral:rRNA from 1 species